ACUCAAGGAACACUAGAACCACCUAAAGAACCUGUGGAAUCUCCUCAGUGACCACAAGAACAUCGAAGUACAGCAGCUGGACGUCCGCUGAGAACAGUGAUCACACAAACAUCAAAUAUGACUGAAAUGGCGUGAACCUAAUGACCCGUAGAACCUCCUUCACCAAAAUUCAAAUCAAGUUUAUUUAUAUAGUGCCAGUUUAAAACAUAAGUGAUCUCACUGCACCUUUCAUGUGGGGCAGGUCUAUACCGUACUCUCUGUAAUAUUAUUAACAGAGACCCAAAUAAAGGGUCUCCCAGAACCCCCGGUUCACCUCCUGUUCCUUUCUUUCUUCUUGCAUUGCUACUAUAAGUGUUUGUUUGAUUCUACUCUGUUCGAUUUUAUUCUAUAAUUACUUUAUUUCUUUUUACUUAUUUGUCUGUUUGCACGUAGGCAGCAGUAAACUGCACUUUUUAUGUGAAGAUGAAACCAUAAUAUUAUAUAUUAUCGUUAUUGUAGAUCAGGUUCCCGGCUGUAAACGCGUGUAUGAACAACUGUAUAGGCCUCUUUUUAUUUUAGACAGUGAGUGAUUGAACAUCAGUUGGUACCGAACAUGAGAAGAGAAACUAUUAUAAAAUAUGUGGGACUUUCGAUGAUUUGAUCAUCAGAAUAGUUGCUUAUUAAUCAGCUAAUCAAUGAGUCGCUUCAGAGCAUUAUUGUUUGUUUUUGAGCAGGUUACCAUGGUGAUACGCCGGGGUUAAAGGUCAACUAGUUCCGCGAUAACGCAGGUAAAGCUCACCGUGCAGCUGCUAACGUGCUAAGCUAACGUUAGCUCCGGGUUGCAGGACCGACUGAAACUCAAGCACAGUCGGGUGGCAGCAGGCUAAGCAGGGUUCUCCAGGGUCCCUCUCCUCUGCAGCAUUUUCCAGCUCCUCCCAGAUCCCGGCCAGCACCAGGAGAACAGAAUCGGAGUGAGACGACGUCCCUCCGGCUGCUGAUGGUUUGUGAAAGACGAGAAGAGAACCAGUCUUGGGAUUUCUCCUUGAAAACCAGGAUCACGGAACCUGAUCGCUGCCUUUGGUUCAAACAAGGGAGAAGAGUGAAUAGGAACUUGGUGAUAUCAGCGUCCUCCAGCCCUGGAAGCUGCUCUUCCUCCUGACUGGUCCAGAGAUCCUCCUGU